rnacentral:rRNA from 1 species
UACAGAGGGGGCGAGCGUUAAUCGGAAUUACUGGGCGUAAAGCGUGCGCAGGCGGUUUUGUAAGACAGGCGUGAAAUCCCCGGGCUCAACCUGGGAACGGCGCUUGUGACUGCAAAGCUAGAGUGCGGCAGAGGGGGAUGGAAUUCCGCGUGUAGCAGUGAAAUGCGUAGAUAUGCGGAGGAACACCGAUGGCGAAGGCAAUCCCCUGGGCCUGCAC